GGCCACGCAGAGGCCACACACAUCGUUUGGGGGAACUGGUUGACACACAGCCCUGUGCCGCACAGUAGAGGAAGCUAUGCACAGGAUCGCUCUUGGCUUCCUGACGGCGCUAAGCCACCAACUACUUUAAGCUCCUAUUGCCAUUGCCUUCUUCACCACUAAGAACCAACCUCUUAAAUGGUAUUUCCUCCCGUGCUCAUCUGGUGCACUGAGAAUGGACUAAUGCAGGGACCACAGCAGCACCAGCUCCGGGUUAUCAGCAGCAGCACAAGGACCAAGCCCAGAAGCCACGAACCCCUCCUGCUCUGCAUCAGGGUUUUCUCAGCAAAAAAGCAUGGGCAGUCCCUUCAGCCUGUGAGAGCCAGAGUCCUGCAGGGAAGAGUAAUGUGGGCUAGACUUGAAGAACACAUAAGGACUCGUGCUUCUAGAAGCUCAGUGAUUAGAGGUGGCAAGAUGGUCAGGAUAAGCACAUGGAAUCUAGCCCAAAGUCGUCUGGCCGUGGGUCAGUCUGGGCCUAGAGGACCCAGGAGUCCAGACACCUGGAGUUUGGAGAGGUAAGCCACUUGGUGGCGCUGUGAGCAUGAAAAGCGGGCUCUGUAGCCAAUAAGCCUUUUGCAAGACUGGAGGUGUGACUUGGAGACUGUCUAAGGGGCAAUGUAAAAAGCUCAGCCUACAUCCGGACCCCGGCUGGAAACAAAUACGGACAUAGAGAGGUCCUGCGAGACACCAGGAGGCAGACAAGGCAGGGAUGACGACUGUCUGUCUUGUGACCAGGAAACGGGGUUAUGAGACCUAUUCAGCUUUCUUUGACUCCGCGCUGUUUGGUUAGGAAAGGGCAUAUGUGUGCAGAGAACAAACAAUACAGGGGAAGGGAGUCUACAGAGAGCUGCUGAACUCUAGCUGCCCCCAACAGACCUCCGGUAAAGGAAAAGGAAGACGCGAAAAGUGACCCACAGCUGGGAAACCUACAGGUCAAAACUCGGAGUAGGGCCUGGGGCAGGAUGGGGGUGGAGGUGGAGGUGGGAGUGGAACACACCUUAAAAUCCCAGCACUAGGAAGGCAGAGGCAGUCUGAUCUUCAUGAGUUCAAGUCUAUCCUAGGCCAUAGGGCAAGUUCC
rnacentral:lncRNA from 1 species